rnacentral:lncRNA from 1 species
AGCAACUUGUAGUAUCAAGUUGUUAAAAUGUUUCAUGUUUUGGUUAUUUUCGCUAUCUUGCAUACGUGUUGUAGGUUCUCCUACUGCAGAGCAACAAGCUGCUACACGUCUCUUGCAACUGUGGGAACAGCGGAAUUUACAAUGAUCAUCACUUCAGCCAUAUGCAGUGAGACUGCUACAGGGACAGCCGUACUGCAGCAUGGCCUUGCCUCCUGCUUCAGGCCAUCUGUGAGAGAUGGCAGAGGUGGGUUUGUGUUUGCUUGGGAU